GCGCAGCAGGCGCGAAUCUUCCGCAAUGGGCGAAAGCCUGACGGAGCGACGCCGCGUGCUUGAAGAAGCCCUUCGGGUGUAAAAGCUUUUCUGGAGGAAUAAUCUUCGGAUGAACUUACUCCAGGAAUAAGAAGAGGCUAAUCACGUGCCAGAAGCCUCGGUAAUACGUGAUCUUCAAGCGUUAUCCGGAUUUAUUGGGCGCAAAGCGUUCGUAGGCGGUUUGUUAAGUUCUUUGUUAAAGGUCAGAGCUCAACUCUGAAAAUGCAAGGAAAACUAACAAACUAGAGGACAUUAGGGGCUGAUGGAACGGUCGGUGUAGGGGUGAAAUCCGUUGAUAUCGACCGGAACACCGAAAGCGAAGGCAUUCAGCUGGGGGUGAUCCUGACGCUGAGGAACGAAAGCGUGGGUAGCGAACGAGAUUAGAUA
rnacentral:rRNA from 1 species